rnacentral:rRNA from 1 species
UACGUAGGUGGCAAGCGUUAUCCGGAUUUAUUGGGCGUAAAGGGAGCGUAGACGGUAAUGUAAGUCUGGAGUGAAAGGCGGGGGCCCAACCCCCGGACUGCUCUGGAAACUAUGUUACUAGAGUGCAGGAGAGGUAAGCGGAAUUCCUAGUGUAGCGGUGAAAUGCGUAGAUAUUAGGAGGAACACCAGUGGCGAAGGCGGCUUACUGGACUGUAACUGACGUUGAGGCUCGAAAGCGUGGGGAGCAAACAGG